rnacentral:lncRNA from 13 species
ACAACAGUCACUUGAAUUAGAGUGGACGUUGCAGUGAGACAAGAUUGCACAACUGCACUCCAGCCUGAGCAACAGAGCAAGACCCUGUGUCAAAAUUAAAACAGUUCCAAUUGCUCCAAAUCCUCAGUAACACUUGAUGUGGUCAGUUUUAAUUUAGAUCUGUAAUCCAUUGGGGUUAAAUUUUGUAUGUAAUCAAAGUUUGGAUCAAAGUUCACUUUUUUCCUUGUGGUCAACAAUCUAAUUGUUGUAGCAUCAUUUUUUGAAAGGACUAUUCUACAUUACCUUUGCACCUUUGUCAAAAACCAACUGAUUCUUAGUCAAUGGUGCUUUGUUUAAUUCUGCUUUGAUUCAUUUUUCUAUUUGUCCAUCUUUACACUCACACCAACCAUACUAUCUUAAUGACUACAGCUUUAUAAUAAUUAAGUCUUGAAAUCAGGUAGAAUGAGUCCUUCAACUUUCUUAAUCUUUUUCAGAGUGACUUUGGCUAUUCUGGAUUCUUUGCAUUUCCAGGUACAUUUUAGAAUCAGCUAUUGAUUUCUACCAAAAGAAAUUGCAAGAAUUUUUAUUGAGUUUGCAUUAAAUCUGUAGAACGGAUUUAUGGAGUUGACAUCUAAUAGGGUUUGGCUGUGUUGCCACCCAAAAUCUCAUCUUGAAUUGUAAUCACCGUAAUCCCCAUGUGUCAAGGGAGAGAACAGGUGGAGGUAAUUGAAUCAUGAGGCAGUUUCCCCCAUGCUGGUCUCGUGAUAAGCGAGUAAGGUCUCAUGAGCUCUGAUGGUUUUAUAAGGGGCUGUUCCUGCUUCACCGGGCACUUCUUCCUGCUGCCCUUCCUGCCGUGAAGAAGAAGCCUAAGUCGCAAGAUUUUGAGCUCAAUGGUAAGAACACAGCUACAUAUUAUCACCCUUGGCAUUUGCAGACUGAAAAGAACUCUUUUUUUCCACUUGGUUUCUGGCUUCACUCACUGACUCAAUAAACAAGACUUAUUUAUUGUAGAAAGAUUUAAAGACCAAACGCAGCAUGGCAAAAUGGCAAGAGGAUAGAUUUUGGAGUAACACAACCCCAGUCACAAAUCCUGAUUCUUCCCUGUUAAUAGCUGGAUGACCAUAACCUUCUGACCAUCAUCAUCAUCUGCAAAAUGAGGAGAAAAAGACUCGCCCUGGGGAU